rnacentral:lncRNA from 1 species
AUAUAUAAAAAUCCAGUUUGGUUUGCAGAAAACCAGGUAAAAUUUUAUCAGAAGAAGAUUCGAGAUGAUGAUGAUGUUCAACAUAUGUUUGAUAGUCACGAACAUUCCGGUUACAAUGAUAUAGAGUUGUAUAUAUUAUCACAUCAACAACAUGAGUCUCAAUACAUUGAUCAGUCACACGUGUUUUAAUUGACUGAUGACGAACAAGCUGAGGUGAAUGUUCCAGACGAUGAAGAAGAGGAACCUGAGAUCAUGGUUGACUCGAUGGUGAACGCUGAAGAGGAAGAGGAGCCAAUACCAGCAAGUCAUGUAUAUU